GGAUGAACGCCGGCGGUGUGCCUAAUACAUGCAAGUCGAACGCGUUGGCCCAAUUGAUUGAUGGUGCUUGCACCUGAUUGAUUUUGGUCGCCAACGAGUGGCGGACGGGUGAGUAACACGUAGGUAACCUGCCCAGAAGCGGGGGACAACAUUUGGAAACAGAUGCUAAUACCGCAUAACAACGUUGUUCGCAUGAACAACGCUUAAAAGAUGGCUUCUCGCUAUCACUUCUGGAUGGACCUGCGGUGCAUUAGCUUGUUGGUGGGGUAAUGGCCUACCAAGGCGAUGAUGCAUAGCCGAGUUGAGAGACUGAUCGGCCACAAUGGGACUGAGACACGGCCCAUACUCCUACGGGAGGCAGCAGUAGGGAAUCUUCCACAAUGGGCGCAAGCCUGAUGGAGCAACACCGCGUGAGUGAAGAAGGGUUUCGGCUCGUAAAGCUCUGUUGUUAAAGAAGAACACGUAUGAGAGUAACUGUUCAUACGUUGACGGUAUUUAACCAGAAAGUCACGGCUAACUACGUGCCAGCAGCCGCGGUAAUACGUAGGUGGCAAGCGUUAUCCGGAUUUAUUGGGCGUAAAGAGAGUGCAGGCGGUUUUCUAAGUCUGAUGUGAAAGCCUUCGGCUUAACCGGAGAAGUGCAUCGGAAACUGGAUAACUUGAGUGCAGAAGAGGGUAGUGGAACUCCAUGUGUAGCGGUGGAAUGCGUAGAUAUAUGGAAGAACACCAGUGGCGAAGGCGGCUACCUGGUCUGCAACUGACGCUGAGACUCGAAAGCAUGGGUAGCGAACA
rnacentral:rRNA from 2 species